rnacentral:lncRNA from 1 species
CGAAAAAUUGUCCGCUAACCGUGUAAGCUAGAAACUUUGAAAUCUUCAUUCAAAUUUGACUCAGGAUGCAAUAUUUUUAUCAGCAAUGCACACGUGGGCGUGUGCUCGUACACAAACCUGCGAAUUUAUGCCUGUCAACGUUCAUCACGCGAAAGCGCAUGGAACAACUAUGCGCUCACCUGCACAUAUAUAAACUUGCUUGUGAAAGAAUAGAGACAGAGGGGAACCAGAGCGGUUAAGUAGACGUUCAGCAUGCACACCGAUACGGCGCUGGCUCUAGGUCGUCGCUGGAGUCUUAAGCAAAAUGCACAUGCCUUUGUAUACAUAGAUAGUUUAGCACGACGCGAAGUGAGGCUAAAUGCAUGUUGCUUGGCCUCGAGACUCUACGCUGUUGAUACCAAGGAUAGCAAGCACCGUAGUCCAACCGAGUUAACGCAGACAGUCUUUGCUCUUUCUCUCUCUCAUGAUCGUACCAAGAUUCAACUAUUCUAGGGUCAGUUGCGUUAUGUCAAGUGACGUUAACCUCUAACCGUGUACAUUGGUAUACACACGUUCCGAAAGUCUCGGUUCACUUACACCUGCUGAAGUGGCUCCCCUAUUCUAGAAACUCUAGACGCGAAUGCCCUUGUGCAUGCGGUUUUUCUCCAUGCUCCGGAAAAUGUUUCAUAAUAAAUGUUAAAGAAAAGGACUGCUGCAAAAGUGGAACUUUUAUUCUGAGUUCUUCUCCCAUACUUGAGUCUUUAUCCAUUCGGAGGUUAGAUGAAGAGUUGCAAAUAAAAUGAAAGUUUGUGUAUAACAGUAUUUCCUCGAAGAAAUCUGUUCAAAGGCUUAGGUCGCUGCAAGUUUCAUGAUCAAACGAUAAAACCGUAAGGAGUGAUACUGAAUUACAGAAUUAUCGGGGUAUGCUGUCUAUGUAAGAAAUGACGCGGUAUUAUAUAAGAAAAAGUUGGUAUACGAAUGGGGAACGAAAAGCACUCGCAAGCCAGUGAAUGUAUUUUACGAAAUCUCCGAUCGAGUAAUUUAUCCUCGGAUUCGGUCUUACUCGAUAUGAUCGAAACUUUGGUUAAUCUCUGACUUUUCGGGAACAGCAGGAGAAAUAUGGCUCGGUAAGUAUUCGGGCAAAGUUACUGAUUCACUACGCUUGAGUUCACUCAAAUGCGCCACAGUAGUUUGGCAUCUUUCUCGAGCAUCUUUAAUGCAUAUAGAUGCGGGGGGACGAUGCUUCCGCAGUCGGAGACCAUCAAGCCCAGCGAUUUAUCCAAUAAAUAUACUCCAAUGAAUACGAUGAAUAUCGAGGACUGGGACUCUAUCUCAGCUUAUUCGCAUGUAUCUGUGUCAUCUAAAAUCAAUAUUUUGCUUCCGGGUACCUGCUAUUGCGAAUUUCUAAAGCAUUCGAUCCUAGAGAGAGAGAAUUUCGGAUAGAAAUACACACGGAUACGCAAAUUACUCUUUUAUACUCUCUCUCUUCUCUUCCCUUUGCAACUCUCCUUCCCUCUUCCCCCUUCUCGCUCUUGCAUGGUAUGCAAUCCUCGUGCAAUUGGACCGAUAUCCGAUUGACCACCAUGCCGCAGUGCAGCUCCCAUACUCAUCAGAGGUGCAUAGUUUUCUGUGUAUGUACUUCAGAUGAACAAGCUAGAGAAAUAUAAUCGUACAAUGGCAGAUUGAUAUGGGAAUAUACGGACAUGCAUGUAUGUGAUAAAAAGGUAUGCAGGCGACAUAUUCCGGGUAUAACAUCGUCAUGUAACGAUGGUAACGUUCCUACAUGUCGUUCCUAUGUUGAUAUUGUUCUCGUCGAAAAUUGAGAUAUCCUCUGGUACGAGUUAUAUUAGUACCCUGGCGAACAAACGGUGUCAUCAGAGAAUUUGAAACAAGCGUUUCCCUCGCACCUUCGGAGGCAUUCGACCAUGUGUACAGCAGCGUUCAAGCGGCGUGUAUCACCCAAUAGGUACAGAGCACGAAAACAGAUACUGCACGAAGGUCGAACGACGCUAUAUUUUCGAUCAAUUGAACAAGGAUAUAGUUUUCGAGUUUCAACGGAUUUCUCCGUAACGGUUAAAGAUAAUUGAAUAUUUUCGACGGACGUUCAAUCAACGGGAAAUCAUCUUCACCAUAUCGCGAGUCCUGGGUAGAGUUACAAAAGCAAUGUUCGGUUCUCGUCAACCGUUGGACUUAUUGGAUGUUCUAUGAAAGCUGUGGUUCCGAAUAAAUAUAUAUUUCAUAACUAGCUUGUAUUCGAAUAUUAUAUUUCGUUAAUCGAAUUAACCGAAACAUGAAAAAUCUCAAAAUUUUGUAUGAAAAGUCGUGCACGAGGUAUCUGAGAAAAAGUUUGUUCGCGGCAAGGGCAAUCAACGACACGAGCACACGGUACGAGCGAAAGUCCUGCGGGAUAUAGAAUUUUAGUUCGUGUUACGCUAUAUGGAGGACAUAAGGGAGGAGGCGGGGCACAGAGCCACGCGAAUGCUGUGCCAUGUAGCACUAUAAAUUCCGUUUCUAACGCGGCAUAACGUAACUCGCCCACUUUAAUACGCAAUAAGCAUUGCUCUCCUCUGCUCGGCUCGCCUCCCGUUCCCUUCUGGCUAUGCUCUAGUAUCCGUCCUUGCCUUAUGCUACACACGAAUCCGCAGAAUGUGCAGCACAGGGAGUGCGAGGCUGCUUUCAUGUAUAGGGUGUUUAGAAAACUCUCUGCGGACCUUCAUUCAUCGUGAAAUGCUAGAAACGGAGUUCCUGCUUCGUCACUUAUUUAGGAGUGCAGCAUUUAUUGAGACAUUGAUUGGAUCGGGGUGCAGAAGUCGCUACGACGAUAGAGCACGCCCUCGUGGAACGAGCUGAGCGCUCUUCCCCCUCCGUCGCCAUGUUUUGUCGAUCGGCGCACCGGCGAUUGGGAAUAAUAACUUGAAGGCUGUUCGAACAGUAUUCCCACAGUAUAAAAUGUCCUGGAACGCGUCGGCUCGAAAUUUCAAGACCGCAACUAAUCGCCCCCGAAGAUAUGACGCGGGUAUCGUAGCUCUCCCUGUAUAAAUCCCCACUCACACGGGCAUUUAUAUAUAUACACCAUGAAAUCCUCAUGCGUUCUCUCGCGACGAGAUAUAAUUCAGAACAAAUGGCUAGACAACGAGGCCGCAGCGUUCUCGCCCGCGAAUUUAUCUCGUCGGUGGUGCUCCGUUGCGUGAACGGAGUCCUCGCUCCAACGCUGGAGAAAUGACGCUCUUGGCUUUACAACCGCGAGUACGCGAGGCGUGCACUCUGUCUAUCUACGAGAGCAUAUGCACGUCAACGUGUGCGCGGGCGAGUAGCGUGCACAAGCGUCGGUAUUGUCCGCGGCGGGCGAUAUAACGAAGCGCGAACCGGAGUUGAGAGAAUGAGAGCGUCACAGGCGAAGGGGAAAUAAGAAAGAAUAUUCGGAGGAGCAGGUGCAGCACAUUUACAAUCUUCACAUCUGAGAAAACAUUCGCAAUCGACUCGAAAUUGGCCAAACCUGAGCCACAUUUGGCCGCGAUGCUAAGCCCAUUGGGGAUGUUUUCUCGAGUACUUCUAUGACGUUAAUUGAACUAUCAAACACUAUAAGUACCUGAAAUAACGAUCUACGGUACACAGAAGACGUUGAAACCUAAACCUCAACGAAUAACUGAAUGAAAAAGUUGCAAUCGACUAUCGAAAAGGAAUGCUCCAGAGUAUACUACGAAGUGAUGCAUAAAAAUAGAUAUACAGGUAAGGAGAAGAUUAAGAGCGAUGAAAAACUGACGCACCAAACUUUUUCAGUGUAUAAACCAUGCCGGAGAGGCAUUGGCUUAGCAUGAGGAGGAAAUCUCAAGGGAGGUCGAUAGAUUAGGGAGAUAUAAACGAUAGACUCGUUACUUCGCUAGCGCGUCAGCAUUUCUGGUUGACUAUACGCUAGAGAAUCAGAAGAGAAGUUCUCUCGUUCGUUGCUGCGAAACUACGAACUCGUGCACAAUUUGCAAUCGAGACCAAAAGAGCUCGUGAGAGUCGCCGCAUUUUCCAACUUGUGCGUGCGCGGGAGAAGCCGAGGGUGGCGCGCAGCUGCGUUGUGGGGGAGCAGCCUGCCCCUUUUUGUGAGUACACGUCCGGUAACCCGCAAUUAUUUAACCAACGAAAAAAUAAAAACCCGAAGCCGGACCAGUAUUAGAGGUGGAAGCAGGCACCGACGGCGAUGUUUAUGCUCCGAGCUUUCUCGCAAGCUAUAUUACGUAUUCAGCAACGGACAAACGUCACGCGAAGAUCAUCAUAUUUCGAGCCCAUAUCUACAGUGUACUCGAGAAAUAGCGAGACUCUUGAGGGCGCUCAACACGCCGCAGUCGAGUUCGACGAACAGGAAUGAAAAAUAAUGGCAGUUAAUGCACUGUUUGCUUCGAGUAUACUGCGAUAAAUAAUUGUACUAAACAAUUUUUUUUAAAAAGAAUGAAAAAAAAAGAAUUUAAUCAAACACGAGAAAUAAACAAACGUUUCACCCUCAACCCAUUCCUCGGAAUAU